rnacentral:rRNA from 1 species
GCCAACAAUCUAGCCCAACUUUAACCAAUGAAAAUUUUUUAAUUUAGUUAACUAACUAAACCAUUCUCAUAAUUUAGUAAAGGAGAUUGAAAAAUUACUAAGGAGCUAUAUUUUAGUACCGCAAGGGAAUGAUGAAAUAAAAGUGAAAAAAAUAUUAAGCAAAAAAAAGUAGAGAUUUGAUCCCGUACCUUUUGCAUCAUGGUUUAACUAGUCAAAUCAAGCAAAAUGACUUAAAGUUUGACCCCCCGAAACUAAGUGAGCUACUUCAAGGCAGCUUUAUGAGCCAACCCGUCUCUGUUGCAAAAGAGUGGGAAGACCUUCAAGUAGGGGUGACAGACCUACCGAACUUAGUGAUAGCUGGUUGCCUGGGAAAAGGAUUUUAGUCCAACCUAAAACUAACUUUAUACUAAACAAAUUAAAACUUAAUUUUAGAGCAAUUCAAGUAAGGUACAGCCUGCUUGAAACAGGGUACAACCUAAAACUGUGGGUAAUCUCAAUCAGCUAGCAAUAAAGUGGGCCUAAAAGCAGCCACCUUUAAAACAGCGUCACAGCUUAAUUGCCAAACAGAUCUAAUUACAAAAAUUACUUUGAACCCCACCAUAGUACCAGACAAUUCUAUACUUCUAUAGAACCUUUUAUGUUAAAACUAGUAACAAGAAGAACCCCUUCUCUUUAAUGCGAGCAUAAAUCAGCUAGGACCAACCACUGAUAAUUAACACCAUUGAGUCAACAGUAGAAACACCACAAGAAAACCCUACUACACAUUAUGUUAACCUAACACAAGAGCAUUACAAGAAAGAUUAAAAGAAAAAGAAGGAACUCGGCAAACAUUAACCCCGCCUGUUUAUCAAAAACAUCGCCUCUUGAUAAACACAUAAGAGGUCCAGCCUGCCCAGUGACUCUGUUCAACGGCCGCGGUAUCCUAACCGUGCGAAGGUAGCGUAAUCACUUGUUCUUUAAAUGAGGACUAGUAUGAAUGGCACCACGAAGGUUAUGCUGUCUCCUUUUUCUAAUCAGUGAAACUAAUCUUCCCGUGAAGAAGCGGGAAUAAUAAUAUAAGACGAGAAGACCCUAUGGAGCUUUAAACAGAUAUACAAUUGCCUCCAAUACAAAAAUUUCAGAAAAUAAAUAACCACCCAGGCAUUUUGAUAUAAAGUUUUCGGUUGGGGUGACCACGGAGCAAAAAAUAACCUCCGCAAUGAAAGGGAAUUUUCCCUAAACCCAGGGCUACAACCCUAAGUAUCAAUAAUUUGACACUAAUUGACCCAAUACACUUGAUCAAUGAACCAAGUUACCCUAGGGAUAACAGCGCAAUCCAUUUCAAGAGCUCCUAUCGACAAAUGGGUUUACGACCUCGAUGUUGGAUCAGGGUAUCCCAGUGGUGC